rnacentral:rRNA from 1 species
UGGUGGAGUGAUUUGUCUGGUUAAUUCCGAUAACGAACGAGACCUUAACCUGCCAAUUAGUCGUUUCCAUUCUAUGGCUGCGAUUUCUUGGAGGGACUAUGUGCUGAUGAACACAUGGAAGUUUGAGGCAAUAACA